rnacentral:rRNA from 1 species
CCUACGGGAGGCAGCAGUGGGGAAUAUUGGGCAAUGGAGGAAACUCUGACCCAGCGACGCCGCGUGCGGGAUGAAGACCUUCGGGUUGUAAACCGCCUUCAGUAGGGAAGAAGCGAAAGUGACGGUACCUACAGAAGAAGCACCGGCUAACUAUGUGCCAGCAGCCGCGGUAAUACAUAGGGUGCAAGCGUUGUCCGGAAUUAUUGGGCGUAAAGAGCUCGUAGGUGGUUCGUCACGUCGGAUGUGAAAAUCUGGGGCUCAACCCCAGACCUGCAUUCGAUACGGGCGAUCUAGAGUGUGGUAGGGGAGACUGGAAUUCCUGGUGUAGCGGUGGAAUGCGCAGAUAUCAGGAGGAACACCAAUGGCGAAGGCAGGUCUCUGGGCCAUUACUGACACUGAGGAGCGAAAGCGUGGGGAGCGAACAGGAUUAGAUACCCUGGUAGUCCACGCAGUAAACGGUGGGCACUAGUUGUGGGAACCUUCCACGGUUUCUGCGACGCAGCUAACGCAUUAAGUGCCCCGCCUGGGGAGUACGAUCGCAAGAUUAAAACUCAAAGGAAUUGACGGCUGAGACGNGCGACGACGACGACGAGGGAGAGG